UUCUUCUAGGUCCCUGGACAAGGUUUUCCACUCCUCAGGUUAUCGGAGGCUUCAGUGCCAGUAGAAAACCAGGCUGAAGCCCUCUCAAGGGUAAGGUCAUUUCCCAGACCUUCUUCUCCACCUGGGAUUAGAUACUGCUGUUCCAUGCUUUGGUGCUU
rnacentral:lncRNA from 1 species